AUUGAACGCUGGCGGCAGGCCUAACACAUGCAAGUCGAACGAGUGGCGGACGGGUGAGUAAUGUAUGGGAAACUGCCUGAUGGAGAGGGCUAACUACUGGAAACGGUAGCUAAUACCGCAUACCAUCAGAUGUGCCCAGAUGGGAUUAGCUAGGUGGUUGGGUAACGGCUCACCAAGGCGACGAUCCCUAGCUGGUCUGAGAGGAUGACCAGCCACACUGGAACGGAUACACGGUCCAGACUCCUACGGGAGGCAGCAGUGGGGAAUAUUUCACAAUGGGCGCAAGCCUGAUGCAGCCAUGCCGCGUGUAUGAAGAAGGCCUUCGGGUUGUAAAGCACUUUCAGCGGGGAGGCGUUACCCGCAGAAGAAGCACCGGCUAACUCCGUGCCAGCAGCCGCGGUAAUUC
rnacentral:rRNA from 1 species